GUCUUUCUAGUAUUAAUGCGUAUAAGUGGCUUCCAAUCACCCGGUCUUGGUUAAAACCCAAGGAAAGAUA
rnacentral:tRNA from 3 species